UGUCAUUGAGAUAUUUGUUUAAAUGAGACUCUCAGAUGUUUGCAAAAAAGUGUUAACUCCCUGUGUUUCUUUCCUUGUGGCAGUUUUGUUGGAAGAUGAAUGGAGUUUACAAGUGAUCUGAUAGGGGGUUGGUACUAGCAGGCCAAGCUGUCCUUGCACUAAACAGACGGAUGAUGAGCACCCAGUGAGUAACAAAUGGAUUAUUAUGUUAAACAUGAGUCUAACUCUAAUAGUGCACAUACAUUUUAACUUCAGUGAAAAGCUCUUGGCAUGCCAGGGAAUAAAACAUCUUAUCUCCACCCACCAAGCCCUGACGACACCAUUCUUUCUGUUUGCAUAGUGACAUCACAUUCCAGUGCUCCUCACGUCCCAGAAAUAACUGAAACCAUAAAGCAAACAGGAAAAAGACCCUGAUGCAUGCCCUGCUGUUGCCUUCUGAUGAAUUGCAGCCAUAUAUUUCUGAUGCAAGAGGCACAUCUAAAUAUAUAACACACUACUAAUAAUGUUCUGACCUGCUAUAGCGCUUUCCAUCCGAGGCUCACAAAGUGCUAUACAAACAUUAACAGCUUGAGCCUUCUGUGGCUCCAUAUUAACACUCUCCAUUUUACAAAUGGAUGAAAGUGAAAUACAGUGAGUUAAUGAAGGGAACAGAACGGGAUAGUGGCUCUAACCACUAAACUACACCCCCUCCUUAUAUAAGUUUCAUCGUCUUGAGGCAUGAAGCUAGAUUAAUAACAAGGAAUAAUGGGCAGAGAAUAAUGGGAAAAAUCUAUAUAAGGCCACCAUUUGUCACAUAGAAUAGUGCCUUGUAACACACACAGUCCUAUGGAUUUCAAUAGCACUAAUUGUGAAGUAAGGUACUAUUCACCACCGUGGCAGUAUUGAACCCACAGCGAUUUCAUUAUUAUUAUUAUUAUUCAUUGUAAGGUCCAUGGCUAAAAGGCUUAAGAGAUGGAGGUCUGCUCAGGGAGUGGACUCUGGUUUGGGAAUGGGAUUUAAGAUAAAAAAAGAGAGGGCUGAAGGAUCUGCUCUAGUGACCAGGAGCUCUAGCCCAGGGAGCAGGCAGGCAGUCUGCCCAAAGGUUCUGUGGUGCUCUGGGAUCUUCAUCUGCAGAUUCUGAACCAUCUGUGGAGUGAUUCCCUGGGACCCAACCACCCUGACCCAGUGGUGGUAGCACACAUCUGACUUCACAGUGUGGCCUGAGGGACCAGCUGCAGUGGAGCUGAUAUCAGGGAAAGGGACCAGGUAGCUGCAAAUUGGAGCAGAACUGGCUGGUGAAGACUUCAUUGAACUGGAGCAGAUCGGCAGAGGACAGCCAUCCUCUGACAUCCCGGCUAUCAUACAGUCUAAUUGGAUCCAUGAGUGGGGUCUUAGA